rnacentral:rRNA from 1 species
AUUGAACGCUGGCGGCAGGCUUAACACAUGCAAGUCGAACGAGUGGCGGACGGGUGAGUAAUGCUUGGGAAUCUGGCUUAUGGAGGGGGAUAACGACUGGAAACUGUAGCUAAUACCGCUUACCAUAGGAUGAGCCCAGAUGGGAUUAGGUAGUUGGUGGGGUAAUGGCUCACCAAGCCGACGAUCCCUAGCUGGUCUGAGAGGAUGACCAGCCACACCGGGACUGAGACACGGGCCAGACUCCUACGGGAGGCAGCAGUGGGGAAUAUUGCGCAAUGGGGGCAACCCUGACGCAGCCAUGCCGCGUGAAUGAAGAAGGCCUUCGGGUUGUAAAGUUCUUUCGGCGAUGAGGCGUUAACCACAGAAGAAGCACCGGCUAACUCCGUGCCAGCCGCCGCGGUAAUUC